ensembl:lncRNA
AGGAAUUUUUAAAACGAGGAAAAGCAAAAUAUUUUAUAUGAGCACAUGACAAAGGGUCAUUGCUUCAUGAGAAGCUGUCAGCAUGCUUUGGGUGGCAUCACCUUUGAGGGGCAUGCUGAAGCUGUAAAACCCAGCUGGAGCCUCUAAAUGGGCGGAAGAACACUGAAGGGAAUGGAACACUGGCAAAAAGAGUGAGGUCAGGGAACAUGGUGGAUAAGGGGAAUCCUGGGCUUUCACUGUGGGUAGUGAGGAUUACCGCAAACCUGAAGCCCCUCAAAGCUGACUCAAGAGCAGGUUUAAUGGAGAAGCACAUGGCAAAAUCAUCGGUCUCCACCUGCAUCUUACCUAGCACAGUAUUGUGCACAUACUCGGAGGUCAACGAACACUUAGAUUGACUAGGAUAAUGGUGGUUUUAAAGGUAUUAUGUGUAUUUAUAAAUGACUGCAGUGAAUUUAGGGAGCUGUUGGACUCAGUGUCAGUGUUACUGGGGGAAAUGGAUUUCUGAACCACAUCCUAGGACCAAACUAAUGAUCCGAAUCACAUCAAGUGUGGCAGUGGCACAGCAAGAAUUUAACUCUUUAUUUAUUCCCCAGCUUUGUUAGGAUUCUCUUUGGUCAGCAGGUGUUGCAGGACAGCUGCAUGCUCUGUAGGGAACCCGGGGGGCAGGGAAAAGCCCUGCUGAGGUCGCCGGCAUCUGUUCCUCCCUCUGCAGCUACCUCACGUCCAUUACUUCUGAAUUCUUGGCCGGGAACUUUUGAAGAUUAACUCCUCCCUCCCCUCAAAGAAAAGAUGGAAAUGAUGUUGUUUCUAGAAGUUUGUCUGUAUGAUGACCCAAGAUAUCACCUCUGAUGUUUCAAGAACUACUUUAUUCCAUGGGAUUUAAAGUGCCUGUAUUUUCAAAGGUACUGAGCAUGUUCUUAGGAUGAUGGCAGAGAACAAGAAUGAGAGCAAGUGGAAAGAGGACAAGCAAUAUUCCAGAUAAUGGCUUCUUGGGUCCCGGAGCGACCUGAUGUGGAGCAGAGCAGUGGCUGACGCCUAACAGACAUGCACCUUGACCAGAAAGGAAACUGUGUGUUAUGAGCCACUAUUAUUGGGUUAUUUGUUGCUUCAGCAAAACCUAGUGUGGCCUGACUGAUCAGUAGUUGUUAAAUGAUGCUGUGUAAACCAUUAUUUAACCCAACAGUUCAAGUUUCCUUGUUAAAUCUAUACUUGUCUAGAUUUUGUGUUUUUGCAGAGAGUUCCAUAUAAAGUUGUUUAAUUCCUUUAUGGCUUGUUUUUGAGAUUUUGCACAUCAGGGAUUUUUGCAUGGCUAUUCCUCAUUCAUCAAAACAACAAGAUAUCACGAGAAUGAACAUCUAAUUUUUUCUACUUCAUCUAGAUUUUUGCAAUAUAGUUUUCAUGCUUUUCUGUAUGUGAGUUUUCUACCCUAAUGUGCAGCAUGUGAAUGUGAUAUUUAUCUUAUAGAUUAGUCUUUGCCUGUGACCUAUCGCUGACCACAGGCAAGGAUCACAUCUACUAUGUGCUGUGUCCUUGUCUAUGUUACACAAAAAUAACUACUGGAAAAUGAAACAUGUAGUUAAAUGACAAAUUUACAUCCAGUGAUUUUUAGAAAUAAGUUCUGAUUUUAGAAUUUUGAAUAUAAUUGCCCUACU